GUGGCUGUAGCUCAGGUGGUAGAGCACAGGAUUGUGGCUCCUGUGGCCGUGGGUUCAAGUCCCAUCAGCCACCCCA
rnacentral:tRNA from 1 species